rnacentral:rRNA from 1 species
UCGGGGACUCUGGAGGUACUAACCCGUUAGGGUGGGAAGGUGGGGAUGACGUCAAGUCAGUAUGGCCCUUACAUCUAGGGCUGCACACGUGCUACAAUGCCUGGUACAAAAGGAUCCAAGACCGCGAGGUGGAGGAAAUCCCCAAAGCCAGGCCCAGUUCAGAUUGGAGUCUGCAACUCGACUCCAUGAAGCCGGAAUCGCUAGUAAUGGUAGAUCAGAUACGCUACCGUGAAUACGUUCCCGGGCCUUGUACACACCGCCCGUCACACCAUGGGAGUGGGUUGCACCAGAAGUAGUUAGUCUAACCUUCGGGAGGACGAUUACCACGGUGUGAUUCAUGACUGGGGUGAAGUCGUAACAAGGUAACCA